rnacentral:rRNA from 1 species
GUGGGGAAUAUUGGACAAUGGGCGAAAGCCUGAUCCAGCCAUGCCGCGUGUGUGAAGAAGGUCUUCGGAUUGUAAAGCACUUUAAGUUGGGAGGAAGGGCAGUAAGCUAAUACCUUGCUGUUUUGACGUUACCGACAGAAUAAGCACCGGCUAACUUCGUGCCAGCAGCCGCGGUAAUACGAAGGGUGCAAGCGUUAAUCGGAAUUACUGGGCGUAAAGCGCGCGUAGGUGGUUCAGCAAGUUGGAGGUGAAAUCCCCGGGCUCAACCUGGGAACUGCCUCCAAAACUACUGAGCUAGAGUACGGUAGAGGGUAGUGGAAUUUCCUGUGUAGCGGUGAAAUGCGUAGAUAUAGGAAGGAACACCAGUGGCGAAGGCGACUACCUGGACUGAUACUGACACUGAGGUGCGAAAGCGUGGGGAGCAAACAGGAUUAGAUACCCGUGUAGUCC